rnacentral:rRNA from 1 species
AAACGGCGAAACUGCGAAUGGCUCAUUAAAUCAGUUAUCGUAUAUUUGAUAGUACCUACUACAUGGAUAACCGUGGUAAUUCUAGAGCUAAUACAUGCUUAAAAUCCCGACUUCGGAAGGGAUGUAUUUAUUAGAUUAAAAACCAAUGCCCUUCGGGGCUCACUGGUGAUUCAUAAUAACUUCUCGAAUCGCAUGGCCUUGCGCCGGCGAUGGUUCAUUCAAAUUUCUGCCCUAUCAACUUUCGACGGCUGGGUCUUGGCCAGCCGUGGUUACAACGGGUAACGGAGGGUUAGGGCUUGACCCCGGAGAAGGAGCCUGAGAAACGGCUACUACAUCCAAGGAAGGCAGCAGGCGCGCAAAUUACCCAAUCCCGACUCGGGGAGGUAGUGACAAUAAAUACUGAUACAGGGCUCUUUUGGGUCUUGUAAUUGGAAUGAGUACAAUUUAAAUCCCUUAACGAGGAACAAUUGGAGGGCAAGUCUGGUGCCAGCAGCCGCGGUAAUUCCAGCUCCAAUAGCGUAUAUUAAAGUUGUUGCAGUUAAAAAGCUCGUAGUUGAACCUUGGGCCUGGCUGGCCGGUCUGCCUCACCGCAUGCACUGGUCCGGCCGGGCCUUUCCCUCUGGGGAGCCGCAUGCCCUUCACUGGGUGUGUCGGGGAACCAGGACUUUUACUGUGAAAAAAUUAGAGUGUUCAAAGCAGGCAUAUGCUCGAAUACAUUAGCAUGGAAUAAUAGAAUAGGACGUCGCGGUUCUAUUUUGUUGGUUUCUAGGACCGCCGUAAUGAUUAAUAGGGACAGUCGGGGGCAUCAGUAUUCAAUCGUCAGAGGUGAAAUUCUUGGAUCGAUUGAAGACUAACUACUGCGAAAGCAUUUGCCAAGGAUGUUUUCAUUAAUCAGGAACGAAAGUUAGGGGAUCGAAAACGAUCAGAUACCGUUGUAGUCUUAACCAUAAACUAUGCCGACUAGGGAUCGGGCGGUGUUAUUUCUUGACCCGCUCGGCACCUUA